UCACAAGUUCAUGAGAUCGAGACCAUCUUGGCCAACAUGAUGACCGAGAAGCAAGGCUGAGAGAGGUGGAAGCACUCACCCAAAGUUACACAGCCAGGAAAAGACAGAGCCAGGCUGUACUGCAAAGUCAGUUAGUGACCCUGAGGCUGACAGUAACUUGGGGAGAUUCAGCUUAGAUGACAGGGAUGCUGGUUUCUGCAGCAGCCUCUCUGCAACCUGAGGGCAGCAAUGCCGACAGGCAGCAAGCUGCAGGCACACUUGACAGAUGUGAAGAUCUGGGUUCUGGGGAUGCUGUUGAGCUGCUCGAUGAGCCCACUUUGGACCUGCCCUACCGCCAGACUUUUUGUGAUCCAAGUGCAAGGAAAUUACAGGGCUAUCAACUCUAUCUCUUUCCAAGACCAGAAAGUCGGCAGAUGGAGAACGGUUUCUAGAUGGGGAGGGAAUCUGCCUUUGGAACUUUUAGCGACCUGGUAUGGUUCAACAUUCCAUCACUAUGCAAAAAUAAAUAAAUAAAUUGCAGACCAACGUACAAAGGAAAGCAGCAAAGUUACUCUUCGCGGGGACGGUUGUGAACAAGGUAACAUCUUAGAGACAGACCCCGGGGUCUGUAGCUUUGCAUUAAAGCCAUAGUCUCUAACUGGAGGCAGCAAAAUGUUCUUCCGCCCCACUGGGGUGAA
rnacentral:lncRNA from 1 species